rnacentral:ncRNA from 1 species
GUCCCUGGGGGAGGCACGAGCCUGAGAGCCCCGCAAAAAAUCCGUGCGGGGGACCCAUAGAACCUGAUCCGGGUCAUACCGGCGUAGGGAAAGGGA